rnacentral:misc_RNA from 1 species
GAUGAAGAACGUAGCGAAAUGCGAUACGUAAUGUGAAUUGCAGAAUUCAGUGAAUCAUCGAAUCUUUGAACGCGUAUUGCGCUCUCUGGUAUUCCGGAGAGCAUGCUUGUUUGAGUAUCAGUAAACACCUCAACUUCCAUAUCUUUUUUUGAAAUGGGAGUUGGACUUGAGUGAUCCCAACGCUUUUCCUCACCGAAAAGUGGCGGGUUACUUGAAAUGCAGGUGCAGCUGGACUUUUCUCUGAGCUAUAAGCAUAUCUAUUUAGUCUGCCUAAAAAACAGAUUAUUACCUUUGCUGCAGCUAACAUAAAGGAGAUUAGUUCUUGUGCUGACUGAUGCAGGAUUCACAAAGACAGCUUCGGCCGACUUUGUAAACUCGAUCUCAAAUCAAGUAAGACUACCCGCUGAACUUAAGCAUAUCAAUAAGCGGAGGA